UGCUCACUUCGGCAGCAGUAUACUAAAAUUGAAACGAUACAGAGAAGAUUAGCAUGGCCCCUGCACAAGGAUGACAUGCUUUUAAAAUAUUUUUUU
ensembl:snRNA U6 U6 spliceosomal RNA